GCGUGAGUGAUGAAGGCCUUCGGGUUGUAAAGCUCUUUUGCCAGGGACGAUGAUGACGGUACCUGGAGAAUAAGCCCCGGCUAACUUCGUGCCAGCAGCCGCGGUAAUACGAAGGGGGCUAGCGUUGUUCGGAAUUACUGGGCGUAAAGGGCGCGUAGGCGGUCUGAUAAGUUAGAUGUGAAAUUCCCGGGCUUAACCUGGGCGCUGCAUUUGAUACUGUCAGGCUUGAAUUCAGGAGAGGAUAGCGGAAUUCCCAGUGUAGAGGUGAAAUUCGU
rnacentral:rRNA from 1 species